rnacentral:piRNA from 1 species
UUUCACAGAAAUACUAUGAUC